rnacentral:sRNA from 1 species
AACCAAUGUGGAACCAAUUCUUGAACAAUAUAGACCGGUUGUUUUGGCUUCUCUCACCUUCUCCAAGUUGACCCUUGGCACUGUGGCUCCACAAUUUACAGGAGUUACUAUUCUUGAAGAGGAUAGUGGGCCUGAUGGUGUGACUAUGGAUCUUGAGAUGCAAUGGGAUGGUAACCCGAAUAUCGUUCUUGACAUCAAAACCCGAGUUGGUGUCGUACUUCCUGUACAGGUAAAAGAUAUUGGAUUCACUGGGGUUUUCAGGUUGAUCUUCAAACCACUAGUGAAUGAGUUCCCGGGUUUCGGAGCUGUUUGUUUUUCCUUGAAAGAAAAGAAAGAUCUGGAUUUUACUCUGAAGGUUAUUGGUGGUGAUUUAUCAGCCUUGCCGGGAGUAUCUGAUGCAAUAGAGGAAACAAUUAGAGAUGCGAUUGAAGACUCUAUAACUUGGCCUGUGCGCCAAAUUAUACCCAUUUUACCAGGAGAUUACAGUAAUCUAGAGUUGAAACCUGUUGGAAUACUGGAAGUAAAACUAGUGCAAGCAAGGAACUUAACAAAUAAAGAUUUGAUUGGGAAAUCCGAUCCUUACGCUGUCCUUUUUGUACGCCCGCUUCGUUCCAG